AUUGAACGCUGGCGGCAUGCCUAACACAUGCAAGUCGAACGGUAACAGGUCUUUGGAUGCUGACGAGUGGCGAACGGGUGAGUAAUACAUCGGAACGUGCCUAGUAGUGGGGGAUAACUACUCGAAAGAGUGGCUAAUACCGCAUGAGAUCUACGGAUGAAAGCAGGGGAUCGCAAGACCUUGUGCUACUAGAGCGGCCGAUGGCAGAUUAGGUAGUUGGUGGGAUAAAAGCUUACCAAGCCGACGAUCUGUAGCUGGUCUGAGAGGACGAUCAGCCACACUGGGACUGAGACACGGCCCAGACUCCUACGGGAGGCAGCAGUGGGGAAUUUUGGACAAUGGGCGCAAGCCUGAUCCAGCAAUGCCGCGUGCAGGAUGAAGGCCUUCGGGUUGUAAACUGCUUUUGUACGGAACGAAAAGCCCUGGGUUAAUACCCUGGGGUCAUGACGGUACCGUAAGAAUAAGCACCGGCUAACUACGUGCCAGCCGCCGCCGUAA
rnacentral:rRNA from 1 species